GGGGAAACAAAAAUCCGAUGCAAAUUCUUCCAAGCAGAGGUUGGACGCUUGGGAAAGUCGAGGGAGCUCCCCGGACUCACCAGCGAAAAAGCUGGGCACUGAGCGAAUGAAUCACAGUUAAGGCAAAGCACCUGUUCUCAAUUUGCCAGCCCUAUGAAGUCUGCUGUUGGCUUUACCUGUCAUAAAUACACUCUUCAGGAAAAAAGAUUCCCUCCCCCGCCAUAAAUAAUGGUGUUAUGAAGCAUGGUGGGCUGAGUAUAUGAUUUCUGUAGUAUAUAAAUUAGGGCCUAAAAGGACAUGUUUACUACGGACUGGGGUUUUUUUAUUUAUUGAAAAGUCACAGCGCUGGGCUGUCCUUAAGACCCAAGCAAAGCAGGCACUGCGCUCUGACUGCCGUCUUCCUGGUUCCCCUUCCCUCUCCUGCCCUGACUUUGCAGCUGCCUCUCUGCAACAAGAGAGGAGUCAAGAGGACCACUCAGUUUAGGGAAGAAGUUAGAGGAAGAAGAACACUUGGGCUGAUGGCUUGUGCUCUACAAGGCCUUUUGCCAUUCCCUGCACUGGAGCCUCGCCUGAACACAGCUGGGGCCAGUAGCUGGUAGCUUGGAGAAGGGCAAGCAGGGAAAAAAGCGCAGCUCCUGGCCACACUGGGGCCCAGAGCAGCCAACAGUGAGGCCGAGGUUUGAAGAGCAGAGGCCGACCAGCCGACCGCAGGGACGGUGUGCAUUGUGUGAUGCCUAUUUCAUGACAGCGAUGAGCGCGGGGGUGGAGGCACAGUUACUUAUAAGCACAUGUGUCUCACAGAAUUAUGAAGCAGAGGUGGACAGAGAUGAGCCGAGUGUGAAAGUGACUGUGGAGGUCAAGCAAAAGCACUGCUGUGUACAACAAAAUUAGAAAAGUCCCCAAAUCUAUGUCUCCAAGCACCAGAGGUAUUUCUUCAGACUCAAGAUCACAGUCCAGACCCACUCUGGGAAAGAGUGAGGCAUGAGGACACUUGCCCCAGUGGGAAAGGACACAAGAUCGCAAAAUCCUUACCCUUUAUGCAAAACGGCCUCCAAAACAGGUAUCACAUCGAAUCUGCAUACUCAGGUUCAAAUCUCGGUGCUUCCACACCCCCCAAGUGGGGAUCUUAAUUGUGAAGUAAUGAAAUCUUCUGCCAAACCUCCCUCCCAGGAUGUCAGAGGUGAAAGGAAGGACUGAGAGGUCAGUGGCCCAAGCCCACCUCAGGAAUCUUCUUACCAACUCUCAGCCAUCAAGGAUAUCCAAGGCGAUGGGGGUGGCUGACUCCUUGGGAGGGGGCAUCCAGGAGGCCAAACGGGGUGGGCGGCAGGCAGGCGGAAAGGAGGCGAGCAGGUAGAAGGUUAUUACGAAAUUGCUUCCAUAAAACCUGUGGCUGUUGUAAAACUCUGCUUUCCAAAGACUUUAUUUCCUCCUUUCUCUCUAACAUUCUCCUUUUUUCUUUUUACAGCACUUUUCCUGGGAGGGGGUGGCCAAGGGACACCAGGGAUGGAAGACAGUCAGGCUCUGAGUGACUGGGCAGGUUUGUGAGAGGCCCAGGGAGAAGUGAGAUAAGGCCGCAGGGACGCGCCAGGCCAUCUCCACCCAGACCAGAGGAUGAGAAACUGUCAAGGGACAGAGUUGUUAGCCUUUGCUUAUCAGGACAGUGGGUUGAAGGCUCCAUUUCCCCUAGGCUAGGGGUGGGUCUCCCUAAUGCCCCUCUGCUCUAGCAGAAGCCCCUUGUUCAGAGACCCCCUGGCCCUCCAAGUCAGCCUGGCGCCGAAGCCCCAUCCGGUCGGGCCUCUUUCCCGGGCCCCUUUGCACAUUUCCUCUGCCUCAAGCAGCAGGGGGAAGGUUUGGGAACAAAAGUUAGCUUAUGCUUUGGAAAGUCCCCCUUCUUCCACCAGCACUUCUAGUUAUUCCUUUCCUGGGCACAGGGCCAACAGCCUUAAGAGGACCGAGGUCAGAGAGGGUAUCAGAGUCUUGCCCUGCCCAACCCCUGGUUUCAUCCCUUGUCACUGCAUCAGUCGGGGUUGAAUUGUCCAACAACCUGGGCUCCCCAUUAGCUUGCAAGUCAGGCCCCUCUCCAAGGAGGUGGCACUCAGGACCUAUGUGUACCCCCAGCCCAGCCCAAGGCCAGUGGGAAGCCUUUGGCCACUGGGGUGGGUGGGGAGGAAAAAGUCAACUGAGGGAUUAGGAAAGGAAGGACUUUUCGGACCUACUUCUGUAGGUCUGGUCCCAUAGGGGGCCUUCGACAGGACCCUGAGGGCUUUAGGCUGAGAUUGCAAGAGCUCUCAGUGUUUGCCUUUCAGAAUGAGACCUACUGAGCCCUCUUCAAGGACCUGAAGCUUCCUGCUGAGGUGGAGCACCAGCCCGCAAAGAGUUACAAAAACCUCAAGAACCCCCUGCAUUUCUUUUGAAAUCAAAUAUUUGUGAAGUUGGGGAGAGUUUCUCUGGAAAGUUCUGGAUGUAGUUGAGAGCUCAGAGACCCUAAGGCUGGAAGUUGGAGCUCUGACUGCCAUCUUUGGGUUGGGCUGAACAGCCCAACAGGGCCAGGGAGGUGCCUCGGGAGAGUUGACUGCUCCUCAUCCCCCUUCCCCUCCUAACACACACACAAAAAAACAUUCAGAAGUGGGAAGACACUUCCCAGAUCUCUUCUCUGGGGGAACAUCCUUGUUGCUCCUGGAUGAAGGACCUCAAACCUCUUCCCCAUUUUGCAAGGUUGAUCUUCCAGUCCUGAUUCUGCUCCCCUCCCCCAACUCCUCCAGCUAAGCAAGGAGCAGUAACUGCCGUGAAUCGGGUGGUUUAAUGUUGUUGUGUUCAGAAACCCAGGCCCAACAACAUGAAACUACCUAAUUCACUCAGCAGUUCCAAUUCAAGCUCUAGGUCAAGAGCUCACUGGGGGCAAACCCUGUGGCCAUUUUUUUGUGGGCCAAAAAGCGGCUUAACUUCAUUUUGCUCCACCUCUUCCCCAACAGAAGAACCCAGUUGCUACUAAACAACACAUCGGAAGAACUGAACCCAGGACUCUAGGUAAAACCAUUUUGGAGCCGGUCCUGAUAGCUCAGAUUCCAGAGACAUUUGCUGCCUUCCAGGAGCCCUGGCCAGAGAAGAAGACCCUAGACACAGGCACAAGCCUGGGCAGGGCCUCUUUGAUAUACCUGCUCAGUCUCUGCCUCUCAGCCCAGCUGGAGGUCUCCACAGAUAAAAAGAAUUCUCAACUUCAAACAGAUACGAAGGUGCAUCUAUACUCAGCACCCUGCUAGCCCCUGUAUUCCAGGUCACCCAGCCUCCCAGUGUAGCUCUGAGAGGCCAGAUCUUCAAGUCCUACACACCCCCCAGCUUUGAGAUUGGGGCUCAGACAGGAGAGUGAGACAAAAGAGUGCUGAGAAAGAAAGUGACAGAGAGAAAGGUGGAAAAGCAGAGUGUCAGAAAGUUUCGGGAAUUCUAGGGAACAAACAGAGGAAGAAUGGGAUUUGGAGGGGAAAGCCGGUUGAUCUGAACAGUUGCUGUGAAGGCACCCUGCCCAAAAUGUCCCAGGGCCCUGGCUCUGCAGAGGCCGAGCUGCCCCAGGUAAGACAAUUCAUUCCGAAUCUUCGCAGAAUAAGGACUGAGAGGCUAAGGACUGGGAUUGGGACACAGAGAACAAAUUUGCUUCCUCCUUCCUGACCUUCGGUCUGGGUCCUUGGCCCCCUAACGUGCCCGCUCCUCACCUCUGCCUCUCCAGACACCCGCCUGCUCACAGGUGCUCACGCUCACACCCGCACCCAUCGCAAAAACGCAGCUGUGCAGGCCGAGGGCGGCGGCGGACUUACCUGGGCGGCGGCGGUGCCGGCAGUGCGCGGCCG
rnacentral:lncRNA from 10 species